AGAGUUUGAUCAUGGCUCAGGACGAACGCUGGCGGCGUGCUUACCACAUGCAAGUCGAACGAUGAAGGGAAGCUUGCUCCCUGGAUUAGUGGCGAACGGGUGAGUAACACGUGAGCAACCUGCCCCUAACUUCUUGGGAUAACGCUUCGAAAGGAGUGCUAAUACCGGAUACCAGCACGGAGGACAUCCUCUGUGCUUGAAAGUUUUUCGGUUAGGGAUGGGCUCGCGGCCUAUCAGCUAGUUGGUGAGGUAAAAGCUCACCAAGGCGACGACGGGUAUCCGGCCUGAGAGGGCGACCGGACACACUGGGACUGAGACACGGCCCAGACUCCUACGGGAGGCAGCAGUGGGGAAUAUUGCGCAAUGGGCGAAAGCCUGACGCAGCGACGCCGCGUGAGGGAUGAAGGUCUUCGGAUUGUAAACCUCUUUCAGCAGGGACGAAGCGAAAGUGACGGUACCUGCAGAAGAAGCACCGGCUAACUACGUGCCAGCAGCCGCGGUAAUACGUAGGGUGCAAGCGUUGUCCGGAUUUAUUGGGCGUAAAGAGCUCGUAGGCGGUUAGACACGUCGGAUGUGAAAACUGGGGGCUCAACCCCCAGCCUGCAUUCGAUACGGUCUGACUAGAGUGUGGUAGGGGUAACUGGAAUUC
rnacentral:rRNA from 1 species